GUGGGGAAUAUUGGACAAUGGGCGCAAGCCUGAUCCAGCCAUGCCGCGUGAGUGAUGAAGGCCCUAGGGUUGUAAUGCUCUUUCACCGGUGAAGAUAAUGACGGUAGCCGGAGAAGAAGCCCCGGCUAACUUCGUGCCAGCAGCCGCGGUAAUACGAAGGGGGCUAGCGUUGUUCGGAAUUACUGGGCGUAAAGCGCACGUAGGCGGGGAUUUAAGUCAGGGGUGAAAUCCCGGAGCUCAACUCCGGAACUGCCUGUGAUACUGGGUACCUAGAGUAUGGAAGAGGUAAGUGGAAUUCCGAGUGUAGAGGUGAAAUUCGUAGAUAUUCGGAGGAACACCAGUGGCGAAGGCGGCUUACUGGUCCAUUACUGACGCUGAGGUGCGAAAGCGUGGGGAGCAAACAGGAUUAGAAACCCUUGUAGUCC
rnacentral:rRNA from 1 species